ACCUUAAUUUUCAAAACACGCAAGUCAACCCAAGAGACUACGAAUUAAGUGUACAAUCAUGCUAGAUUCUAAAUUCAAUCGAUAUCUAUAAUGGACAUCGAUUUAUGCUGAGCAUUUGGCGUUCAGAAUAGAACUAUUUGUUAGUGGCAUGCGUCAUGACUAGACAGCAUGGUCACAGUUCCACUAAAGACAACAAAACUCUCCAAAUGUGAACUACUUAGAAGAACAGACAUAAAUCUUAAGACAAACGACAGCAAAACAGACAGCCACAACAACAAAAGAAAAAACAAAAACCCCUACCCCCCAAACAGAUUUGGAUUGCUGCCCAUUUGUUAAAUCAGACGGACAGUGUGCACUCGAGAACAAUAGCCAAGCGAAUCACAACACAAACAGUGUUGAAACAAAGAUAAACGCAAACAUUUAUCAUUAUCAACAAUUUGUAACAAUUGCUCUUGGGAGUUGUCAGAGAGACAGAGAGAAAGAAACUCAGAAAGAACACAGAGCACAAACACUUUUUCAAAGAUUUCCAAUAAUAAAUUCCUGUCUGUGUGUAAUCAAUGGUGAAUUAAGAACCAAGACAUAACGAAAAAUAAAUGUUUACAAAAAUAUAGAUUGGCGUAAAGUU